GCGCCGGCCACGAACCCAAACUGUUGCUCCUCAUGCCGACCACCACAUUGUCCGUCGCUGCCUCCCCAAGCUUCUGCUGCCCGUACCCAUGGAUGUGGCUUCUUGCUCUUCCUACUGUAACCUGGGGUUCUUUUCUUUUGUUGUCAUUGACGUUGGCAGCUGACGCGGGCCGCUGCUGGUGUCGCCGAAGAGGACGCCGCUGUCCUCGUCUCCUCUCCUGCAGCACCCAACGGAGGGGGAGACCUGGUGGUGCCUGGCCAAGACGUAGAACUCCACGGGUUGACCUGGUGCCCCGCUGUCGGGGACGACCAAGGCGGCGCAGCCGUGCCUCUUUCCGGCGGGAGGGGCACAGGAAUUGCAACAUGAGGCAUGGAGGAAGGCUGGCGGUCGUCUUACCGAGCUGCUGCUGCCGGCGCUGGCCACGAACCCGAACUGUUGCUCCUCAUGCCGAUCACCACAUCGUCCACCGCUGCCUCCCCAAACUGCUGCUACCCAAAACGUUGAAUGACAUCAACGCCGACCUCCCUGAGCUCUUGGUGGUGGUCUCCUCUUCUUGCCCGGUCUGUUGUCGCCCGGAUUCCACCUGGAGCAAAUGCAAGCGUCUUCCGGGAGAAGGUCGAGGGACAACUGGACCGUGAUGCUGGUUCAUUUCAAGCCUGCCACAAGAUAAAUAUUAAUGAUUGCCAAUGUCUUUCGUUGGGUUUGGCUCUCCGAUGCAGCUCUUUCAGGAUGCACUUGAAACCCUCUGUGUCGUCCUCUGUAGCUACUGUUAGACACCUCUAUUGCUCCUUGCAUUCGAUAACGGCUCCAUGAAGCUUUGCAUCCUCAAGAUAAGGAUCUGAUUGGUGUCAUGGUAAUACACAUGGUGAUGACAAGGUCCCUUAGUCCUGCCACCCAAGGCAGGGAUUUGAGCAGACUUGGAUGCUCGUGAAAACCAUUCUCCAGGAUCGAAAUAUUGUCAAUGGGAAAUCAAAGGUGUUCCUUUGAGAAUCGAGAUCGGUCCAAAAGAUUUGUCAAAUAAGCAGAUAGGCUGGAACGAAUAUUUGCCUGUGGCAGCGAUGUCCUUUUCUUGAUCUGCAUGGUUAAGGUGAAAUUCUGGGCAACGUGAUGUACCCUUGUCCCUAGAUGUAAAUAGUUCCUCAUACUUUUUUGUACUUAUUUUGACUGUACUUGGCUGGUGUGCGCAUCUUAGAUUCUAGGACUAUUUGGUUUUAUCGUAGUUCUCCUUGAUUCUAAGACUGUUUGGUUUUAUUACUAGCUCUUGCAUGAUUUGGGUGUUGCUAUCACCUUUGGGUAUAUAUAUUUAUCCAUGCAUGUGUCGUGCCUAGUGUUAAUACUGAGUGCAAAUUCUAUUGUGAGCUUUACUGGUUUGCUGCCCUGUUUUUGCAUCAUUCAUUUUAGAGUAGAAAGCUAGCCUGCAAGCUCCUCUAUGUA